rnacentral:lncRNA from 1 species
CUAGAUGUCCCUCUCUCUCUCUCUCUCUCUCUCUCUCUCUCUAUUCUGGACUUUCAUCUUCUUCGUCUGAUUUUCUUCGAUCUUUUUGAUCUCUUAUGAGUGAUCUAGCUAGAAUAUUAGUUGAAUCUAUGGGAUUCAUGUUGCUACAGUAAUCAAGCCUGAAAUAUUGGCUGAUUUGGUGUUUGUAGUGGUUGGCAAAAAGUCAUGUUCCUAUUUUUGGUAAGGUUCUUGAGAUUUAAGAGAUCCAAGUGUGGAUCGAUGAUUAUCUCUAAGUCCAAUUCCGUCUUCAUGCUUGUACUCCAUUUGGAUGGUUUUUUUGUGCUUAGUAAUCGGGCUAAUCUCUGAGCCUCCAGAUUAGGCAAUUGCCGAACUAGGUGAACAAUUUAUCGCGUUCAUUUACUUUUCUUGCACUGUGUUUGAUGUUUCCUUUACAGUUUUCUUUAACAAUAAGUAGGAAGAAAGCCUAACAACUGGUAUUAGAGCCUUUGAGGUUCUUGGGGGUGCAAGUUUUUGAACCAAAAAUUGUUUGAGUUAAUUUUUCUUGGUCUGAUUUUUCUUGGGGUUGCCAAUUUUCUUAACAAACUGUGAGGCCAGCAAUAUUAGAUCAGUUUUUUAAUAUAAACUAAAAGAUCUAAUUCUUGUCUUUUCUGUAUUGUUGUUUUGGAAGGAAAAAGGUUGGUGAAAGGUGGUAAGACAACUACGGUCUACUUCCAGAAAUGAGGAGUUCUUUCUGUCCUCAAGUUGAGACCAGCAGUGUGUUCUUCUUUAUUGUUAAGACAGUCUAUGGUGAGUACGUUUUAAUUUUUUUUGCUUUUGUAGAGUAAUUUCAAUUCUUGAUAUUUGAUAUGAGAUAUAUACAUGUGAUACAUGGUAGAAUGGGUACUGUGAUUUGAAUUGGAUACUUCUGUUAGUGUGAGCAUAUUGCAUUAGAUAAGUUCUUCUAUAUAACUUGGUGUACUCACUCUGUAUCAAAUAUUAUUGUUCUUAUUUCAAAUUUGGUGAACAUAUAUCUGCGUGGAUUCUUGGAAUUUUUUCAAAACCAUUUUCUGCUCACUAGUUGAUCUUUAAUUCAAGAUUAAAACUAUGUCCAUGAGUAUAGGCUACCCUUUUACAAAACUCGUGAUGGGUUCGAAGGUCGAAUUGUCUAAAUUCGAUGGAAAGGAGGAUUACUCUAUAUGGAAGCAGAAAAUGAGAGCUAUUUUGGUUCAACAGAGUGUCGCUAAGGCCCUUUAUGAUCCUAAAACUUUUUCUGCAGAACUUAAGACAAAACCAAAUGAAAUUGAAGACAUGAAUGAAAUUGCUUAUAGUUCCAUAAUUUUACAUUUGUCUGAUAACAUUGUAAGGCAAGUUGAUGAACCCAAAACUACUAGAGCCCUAUGGACUACUCUUGAUGCUAUGUUCCUAACUAAAACACUUCCAAAUAAAAUUUUUCUCUUGGAGAAGCUGUUUAACUUUAGGAAAGACCUUGAGAAGGACUUAGAGGUAAAUUUGAGUGAAUUUAGUAUAAUAGUGAAAAGCCUUGCACACAAUGAGAAAAAAUUUGAUGAUGAAGACCUUGUUGUAAUCCUGCCAAACUCAUUACUUGACUCAUAUAAAAAUGUUUAAAAAAAAAAAAAAAAUACUCAAGGGAUAAACUAACUCAAGCUAUAGUCAUUGAUGCUUUGAGGCCUAGGUAGUUAGAAGUCAAAAUGGAAACUAAAUCUAAUCCUAGAGAUGAAAGCAUGUAUGUAGGAAGAAGACCUGUAAAGAGAGAGUAAUUUUUCCACAAAGAAGGGAAAAGGGAAAUUCAAAACCAUAUCAAAAUUUAGAGAUAAAAGCAACAAGAAGUGUUACAUUGUGGAAAAUUGGGACACUUCAAAAGGGAUUGCUUUGAACCAAAAAGGAAACAAAGAGAUCUUAAUAAUGGGGAGUUAAAUAAUAACACUAUGGAAGCUGGGGUUGACAGUCUCUAUGGUGAGGAAGUUAAUAAAGAUUGGUUAUUAAAGUCCAAGUGUACCUUUCACACGUGCCCUAUAAAAGAUUGGUUCCAUAAUUACAAAGAAAUAGAACCGAGGAAAGUGUACUUGAGGGAUAAUAAUUCACAAACUAUUGUUGUAAUUGGAAAUAUUGCCAUAAAAAUGCAUAAUGGCACUGUCAAGUCAAUCUUGAAUGUAAGAUAUGUUUCUAAUCUGAAAAGAAACCUAAUAUCCUUAGGGAUUCUUGAAGAUGAAGUACAUACCUUCAAGUCUGACAACAAAGUAUUAAAAAUAAUGAAAGGUUCACUUGUUGUGAUGAAAGGAUAAAAAAUAGAUGGGUUGUACUAGCUUGAAGGUAAAGCGAUUAAUGUUCUUGAUUCCAAUCUACCCACCGUUACUGAGAAUAAAACUGAAUUGUGGCACGAAAGAAUGGGACAUAUUGGGAAUAAAGGGUUUUAAAAUCUUUAAGUAAUCAAAGGUUGCUUGGAAAAGAUUUUGUUGAAACCAUAGAAUUUUGUGAAACCUGUGUUCUUGGAAAAUCUCACCGGAUGAACUUUGAAACAGGUUCACAUGUUACUAAGAAACCCUUAGAUUAUGUCCAUGCCGACUUAUAGGGGCUUGAAAGUCACCCCACUUUUGGUGGCAAUAGAUAUUUUUUUUCAUCUAUUGUUGAUGAUUAUUUUAGAAAAGUGUGGGUCUUUUCUUUUAAAGGCUAAGUCUGAUACCUUUCAAAAAUUCAGAAUAUGGUUGAAAAUCAAUUGGAUAAAAAAUUUAAAAUCUUAAGGACUGACAAUGGUCUUGAAUUCUGAAUUUCAAAACUUCUGUAAACAGAAAGGUAUCUUGAGACAUAGGACUGUCAAAAACACCCCCAACAAAAUAGGACCUUGAUGAAUAAGGUCAUAUGCAUGCUGAUCAGUUCAGGGCUUACAAAAGGGUUCUGGACUGAAGCAGUGUGUACAGCUACUUAUCUAAUUAAUAGAUCACUUUCAAGUUCCAUUGGACUUAAAACACCCCGGGAAUUAUGGUCUGUCAAAAAACUAGACCUGUCUAAUACCAAGGUAUUUAGGUAUGCUGCUUGUGCACGUCAAGUUGAAGGGAAGUGAGACCCAAGGGCAACAAAAUGUAUUAUGUUGGGUUACUCUGAAGGUAUAUAUUUUAUGUGGUUAUAAUAUUAUACUAGUAUCGAUAUAAUACCAAUCAUGACAUAUAUUUUAAAAGUUUAGUAAAG